GUCUGACGCAGCACAGGCCACAGAUCUGCUCAGACAGCACUAGACUUCCUGCAGUGAUUAACGGCUGCUAAAACGCCAGGCCGGACACAGUUAAUGUCACCGGGAUUAUCACUCCCGUCCCGCCGAACGAAGCUCGCAGAUGCCGUAAAUCUCCUGUCACGACGUCCGUUUCCAUUAACCGUAUUUCAUCACUCACUUAAGGUUUCAAGUUUUUCCAGCUCAGUACGUCUACCUUGGGUUGUUUCGCCAAGUGCAUAGUGUAAAUGUAGAUAUCGGAUAUGGGUCACUUUUUAAAGAAGAUCUCCACACCCUGAGAUCCAUCGAUUUCCACCCUGCCGUCCUGACCGACUCUUUCAUUUAUAAAUCCUCAGGUAAAUGCUGGAGCAGAAGAGACUUCUUUCAAAAAAGGAUUAAAUAAUAAUAAAAAAAAACGUACACAAUAGGAGGAUACGGUAUACUUUACUGUGCUACAAACAUGUCUUUGAAGUAAAAAAAAGAGAAAAGAAUAUGAAAUGAAAGGAAUAUGAAAUUACCCAGUGAUGUCCAAACUCAUAAGCAGCCUAUGACCUUCCCAGGAGGAGCGUGACGGCAGCGUUUGAUUCUCUCUGCUGAGGUCUUCAUGAGAUGCUUCAUGGUGAGACCUUUCAACUCUUUGAAUAAGCCCACACUCUCCACACGGCU